GCGGAAUGAUAAGAGGGGGGACAACGAGCAGCUCAUUUCACUCUCCGUAGGGGAGGAGAGGAGCAUCUCUAUGGGAAAUAUGGGUGAAAAGACUGCGUGCAGCCCGAUACGGGGAAGCUGAAUGGAUGGGGCCACUGCAACGUCACGCGGAGCCGCAGCCAUGAAGCGGAGGACCGAAGCGCUAGACAACAUUCUGGAGUGCACGCAGCUGGCACGCGCACAUUUAUCAUUGCGAUCCGUCCUACAGAUCGUCGAUGCUAGUGGAUAGGAGUCCCAGUUCAACCCCUGUUGGGUUUUUCAUAUGGUGGAAGAGGACGGGUGGCCGGAGGGGUUGGCUGUUAUCUUUGGUUAUCUAGCUGUAUGAGUGUUAUUCAUUCUUCAUAAAGCUAGAUAACCGAAAGUAACAAGAAUCCCAUUACACACCUGAAAGGCAUCACCCUACCUUGAGAUCUGUACUCCUCCCCUCUCCUCUUCUAUUUCCCUUCCUAAGUCUCCUUCUCUCUCCUCCUCAAUCUCUGCAUCUUAUUGCAAGAUCAAGCUACAAAAUGGCCUCCAUCACUACUGACAGAGAAGACAGACCACACAUCCUUGAUGCCAGGGAAAGGAAAGAGUGAAGAAGCAGGGCAGGUCGGUUGUGUGACUGCCGUCCUGCUGGCGUUGCUGCUCCCCUCCCCUUCGCUGCUCGCCUGCCCCCUUCCUCCCAUCACGAGAUGCAGUUUGCACAAAGCCACCAUCUUAGAGCAUGCGGGCAUUAAAUGGAAGUGGAAAAUAAGCAGGUUUUUAUAGUCAAGUCGAAUAAAGUGACAUCCAUUAAAUGGAGGAUCGGAGCUGAAACAGGCUGAUGGAGUCAAACGGGUCUUUACAAUGCCUGUGCCCCAACAUCAGAUAAAAGACAGCACUUUAAUUGUUCUACAUUAUUUCAGUCUUGGCAUUUUUGAUGCAGUUAUACGGCUGUAUGUUGCGAGUCAAGUGUGUGUGUGUGUGUGUGUGUGUGGAAGAUGAAAUACAUUCUUUAUACGGGUCUGAGUCAAAGCACUCAACAAAUUGUGUAUUUGUACAAAUGCGCACAUUGGGGAUUCUCCAAGUAAAAAGUUUUUAUUCGGGUAGUUCUAUAGUGAAUUUAAUGAGGGUUUUCUAGGAAAUGUCAUUUCAAAGGCCAAUCUUUUAGAUACUUAAAGAGUUUAACAAUCUCAGAUCUAGUUUGUCUUGGUACAAUCUUUAGCAUAAUGCACUUUAUAACACACAAACUGAUUUUUUUUUUAGUUUAGUACUUUUCAAUAUAAAAAAAAAAUGUAGUGGCCUGUGUUCAUUCCCUUACUUAUCUAAUAACCAAUUGCUAAUUAAAUCUAACACGAAUUAUUUAAAAAAUGGUGUGUGAGGCUCUGUAGAUUCUGCAUGUAUGAUUGUGAGACCCACUGCAGCGGUGAACGAUACUGCACUCUGAUUGGACAGCUCAGUGUGUUGUGCAUCACACACUUGUUGGACAGAGAGCUGUUGUCUUUAAUUUCUAUGCAAUUGUGUUGGGCCUGUAAUCACCUGGAAGAGAAGGCAGAUCAGAGCAACUAUUUAUGACAGCAGGUUAAACUUGUUUUAAGGUGAAAGGAAUAUUUAGCAGAAUAUAUAUGAAUAUUUCAUUUCUGCUAAAACUGGUUUCAACAGCAAACGGCGAAGUCAUUGAAUACUGAAAAGCAGCUUCAUCUAGCCUUUUUUUUUUUUUAUAGAAACAAAUUUAAGGGGUAUUAAAUGCUCUAUAAAUGUCUCUCUGUAUUUUGUGUUACAAUCAAUCAUGGCUGUAAAGAAUAUUCAGUUAAAUAUGCAAGUGUUUUACAAAUUUAUUACAAUUUGAAGAGAAUUGUGCAAUCUAUUUUAUAAUUAUUUUUCUUAAAAUAUUUUAAUCACAUGUGCAGCAUUAUCCUUUCAGUAAAACUGAGAUAAUCUGUUUUUUGUUUUCUUGCAA